ACUCCUACGGGAGGCAGCAGUGGGGAAUAUUGCACAAUGGGCGCAAGCCUGAUGCAGCCAUGCCGCGUGUAUGAAGAAGGCCUUCGGGUUGUAAAGUACUUUCAGCAGUGAGGAAGGUGGGUAUGUUAAUAGCAUAUUCAUUUGACGUUAGCUGCAGAAGAAGCACCGGCUAACUCCGUGCCAGCAGCCGCGGUAAUACGGAGGGUGCGAGCGUUAAUCGGAAUUACUGGGCGUAAAGCGCAUGCAGGUGGUUUGUUAAGUCAGAUGUGAAAGCCCGGGGCUCAACCUCGGAAUUGCAUUUGAAACUGGCAAACUAGAGUACUGUAGAGGGGGGUAGAAUUUCAGGUGUAGCGGUGAAAUGCGUAGAGAUCUGAAGGAAUACCGGUGCGAAGGCGGCCCCCUGGACAGAUACUGACACUCAGAUGCGAAAGCUGGGGAGCAAACAGGAUUAGAUACCCUGGUAGGCUCU
rnacentral:rRNA from 1 species